UACGUAGGGGGGCUAGCGUUGUCCGGAUUUAUUGGGCGUAAAGAGCGUGUAGGCGGCCAGGUAGGUCUGGUGUGAAAACUCGAGGCUUAACCUCGAGAUGUCAUCGGAAACCAUCUGGCUAGAGUCCGGAAGAGGAGAGUGGAAUUCCUGGUGUAGCGGUGAAAUGCGCAGAUAUCAGGAAGAACACCAAUGGCGAAAGCAGCUCUCUGGGACGGUACUGACGCUGAGACGCGAAAAGCGUGGGGGAGCGAACAGG
rnacentral:rRNA from 1 species